UUAACCAUACAAGGAUAGAUAACGCAAACUAUGGGUAAUAAAUUCUUUUGAACAAAAUUGCACAUACUUCCAUGAAUUGCAAUAACAAGAAAAAUACAGAAUCUGAUGUCAACAAGCGAGUGAUGAAAGUAAAAAAUAUUGAAAAAAACAAUAGGAGGCGGAAACAGAAAAUGAGAAUGUCGAUUGUGAGGCAAGUUCUACAACUUAAUAUAUAAAUCACUCUCAACACCUCAUUCCUGAUGGAAUCCAUCACCACGAGGGUAUGAGAGAAGAGGCAAGUUUCCCUUUUUUAAGCUGAGCGCCAAGCAAGGGGGCUACUGGUACCAUUUUUCACGUCUUUGGUAUGAUCGAACCCACGACCUCCCGACUCGAAGCAGAUGCUCUACCACUAGGCUAUCGAGGCAGUUAGAAGACCCUCUGAUUCCAGAAGCUUCCCUGUUUCUUUAGUUGCAGGAGCUGAUGCUCAAAUAAAAAACCUCUGGCUUUGCAGUCAGACAGUGUUACCACUGGACCUCUGUGUUGACUCUACAAGUUUGAAAGAAAUAAGCCCAGAGGUCAAAAGGAAGGUGUUGUUUGAAGCAAUGGCUCUGAUUCAACAAAUAAUAGAACAUCACAUGAUACAUGAAGACCAAUCAUUAUACCUCACCAUAGUCUUGUUCAGGUGAACUAAAAACAUUGUACUCAGGUAAAGCCGGCUCGUUUUAAGAAUUCCAGGAAAGAGGACAACGAAGUGAUUAUCAAACUAUUUUUUAUUUAUCAAUGUGAGAAAAAUCACUGGUAUAUUGUUAAUGAAGACAAUGAGUUAAUGAAGUUCUAUUCAUACAUACACAAAUGAUCUAUACGCUGUCAUAUGAAAAGAUAUGUUAAUUCCAAAAAGCUUGUGUAUAUCAACAAAAAAACCUUUCUACCGAUUUGUCAUUUCUUCUAUUUUUGUGAUAACUUUCAUUCGUCUUUCAAUAGUUGUCUGUGGGUUGAACCAGAUUUCAGUCAAGGCCUUUUGACAUCCCUAUUGGAUUUUAAGUUGUAUGUACACUGUUGUAACUGUUGUGACCUUAAAUAAAAUAGCACUUGUUUCCUAUCCCUCUACCUACCCACAACAAUUGCCGCUAUCAAAAAUAUUUUAUCAAAAAUAUAAAAUCAAUCUAAUUUUCUAGUACGUAAGAAGGGUACCCAUCACUUUAUUUUGUUGCUUUCAAAUCAAACUAAUGAUACAGAUGAUAGACCUGACUUACAUCUAGCUGUUAAUGGCUGAAAAAGUUGAUAAACAUGGAUGCAGGUUAAAAGCUUAGCUCUACAUCACUAUAUACUAAAUGUUUGCUAAUUAAAAAUGUAUCAGUGAAAAAAUGGCAUAAAAAAUUCCCCACUUACCAACCCAGCCAUUAAUGGCAUGGGUUGCAGAAGAGAAAACAAAGAUAUUUCUUAGACUGGCCUUAUGCAGACUGGUAUCCAUCUUCUUCUCUAUGUUAAUAAGGUCAACCAGUCUAAAAUAUUUUUUAAAAUUAGAGAAAACAAUUUCUGCUGUCAUCUUAGUAGAUACAUUCUGAUAAUUGCUGUGAAAAUUCAUGACAUUUGUGAAUUUGAUUUGAUUAAAAAAUCAAAUGACUAUAAGCGGUGAUUGUUUUGGCCUGUUAAGUACCAAUUAGUGCUGUCUUAAGUACCAAUCAGAUUAGCACCAAACAGUGCUGUGUUUAGUACCAAGCUAUGUUGUGUCUAGAACCAGAGCUGUGUUAAGUACAAAUCAGUGCUGUGUAAACUCAAGGAAUGUACAAAAAUAUUUACCUCUCAUGAACAGACUCAAUCAAACCAAAUGUGCUAUUGAUUUUUUUGGUCGUGUUAUUCUUCUUAAAUGAUUAUAUCCAACCUUUGGGUAUUCUUUAUAUGUAUAUGAUUUCCCAUGAGGCCAUUAAGUAAUGAACUUUGACUGAAUAUAUUAAAAUUAUGCUGAUUUUUUUUGCAAAACAAUGGGACACAUACACUACACAUAUGCAUGAGAUACACAAAAAUAUUCUGAAUUGCACGACACAAAUACCACAAAGUCACUUGUGGCCACUCAACAAUCUGAAACAUAGUUACAAUUCAAGCAAUGGAUAAAAAAAAAAUACAAUAUUGUAGACAAAUCCGAUUUUUUUUUUGUAAAUCUGGAUUAAAAAUUGAUUUUUUUUUCC